rnacentral:rRNA from 1 species
CUAAGAAUAUUUCCGCAAUGGACGAAAGUCUGACGGAGCGACGCCGCGUGGAUGAUGAAGGCCGGAAGGUUGUAAAAUCCUUUUAUGACUGAGGAAUAAGUGAAGUGAGGGAAACGCUUCAUGGUGACUGUAGGUCAUGAAUAAGCAACGGCUAAUUACGUGCCAGCAGCCGCGGUAACACGUAAGUUGCGAGCGUUGUUCGGAAUUAUUGGGCGUAAAGGGUAUGUAGGCGGUUCUGCAAGUCUGGUGUGAAAUGCCGGGGCGUCAACCCGACCG